AAAUUGAAGAGUUUGAUCAUGGCUCAGAUUGAACGCUGGCGGCAGGCCUAACACAUGCAAGUCGAGCGGAAACGAGUUAUCAGAACCUUCGGGGGACGAUAACGGCGUCGAGCGGCGGACGGGUGAGUAAUGCCUAGGAAAUUGCCCUGAUGUGGGGGAUAACCAUUGGAAACGAUGGCUAAUACCGCAUGAUGCCUACGGGCCAAAGAGGGGGACCUUCGGGCCUCUCGCGUCAGGAUAUGCCUAGGUGGGAUUAGCUAGUUGGUGAGGUAAGGGCUCACCAAGGCGACGAUCCCUAGCUGGUCUGAGAGGAUGAUCAGCCACACUGGAACUGAGACACGGUCCAGACUCCUACGGGAGGCAGCAGUGGGGAAUAUUGCACAAUGGGCGCAAGCCUGAUGCAGCCAUGCCGCGUGUGUGAAGAAGGCCUUCGGGUUGUAAAGCACUUUCAGUCGUGAGGAAGGUAGUGUAGUUAAUAGCUGCAUUACUUGACGUUAGCGACAGAAGAAGCACCGGCUAACUCCGUGCCAGCAGCCGCGGUAAUACGGAGGGUGCGAGCGUUAAUCGGAAUUACUGGGCGUAAAGCGCAUGCAGGUGGUUUGUUAAGUCAGAUGUGAAAGCCCGGGGCUCAACCUCGGAAUUGCAUUUGAAACUGGCAGACUAGAGUACUGUAGAGGGGGGUAGAAUUUCAGGUGUAGCGGUGAAAUGCGUAGAGAUCUGAAGGAAUACCGGUGGCGAAGGCGGCCCCCUGGACAGAUACUGACACUCAGA
rnacentral:rRNA from 1 species